rnacentral:rRNA from 1 species
GCAAGUCGCACGAAGAACAGUGCCUUCGUGGCCUUAGUAAAGUGGCGGACGGGUUGAGUAACACGCUAUUACAACCUGCCCCAAAGCGAGGGAUAACAUAUCGUAAAACGGUAGCUAAUACCGCAUGCAGUCUUUACCGGGCAUCCGGUUUAGAUGAAAGCCUUCGGGCGCUUUGGGAUGGGUCUGCGGAGGAUUAGUUUGUUGGUAGGGUAAAGGCCUACCAAGACUACGAUCCAUAGCUGGUCUGAGAGGACGAUCAUCCACACUGGGACUGAGACACGGACCAUACUCCUACGGGAGGCAGCAUUGGGGAAUCUUGGGCAAUGGGCGAAAGCCUGACCCAGCCAUGCUGCGUGUAGGAAGACACCCCUAUGGGGCGUAAACUCCUUUUGUGCAGGAAGAAGGCCUCGGUCACCGAGGUUUGACGGUACUGCACGAAUAAGCACCGGCUAACUCCGUGCCAGCAGCCGCGGUAAUACGGAGGGUGCAAGCGUUGUCCGGAAUCACUGGGUGUAAAGGGUGUGUAGGCGGGAUUGUGAGUCAGAGGUGAAAUCUUGCGGCUCAACCGUAAAAUUGCCUUUGAUACUGCA